AUUGAACGCUGGCGGCAGGCCUAACACAUGCAAGUCGAACGAGUGGCGGACGGGUGAGUAAUGUCUGGGAAACUGCCCGAUGGAGGGGGGUAACUACUGGAAACGGUAGCUAAUACCGCAUACCAUCGGAUGUGCCCAGAUGGGAUUAGCUAGUGGGUGGGGUAACGGCUCACCUAGGCGACGAUCCCUAGCUGGUCUGAGAGGAUGACCAGCCACACUGGAACUGAGACACGGUCCAGGCUCCUACGGUGGGCAGCAGUGGGGAAGAGUGCAAAAGGGGCGCAAGCCUGAUGCAGCCCUGCCGCGUGUAUGAAGAAGGCCGUCGGGUUGUAAAGUACUUUCAGCGAGGAGGCGUUACUCGCAGAAGAAGCUCCGGCUAACUCCGUGCCAGCAGCCGCGGUAAUAC
rnacentral:rRNA from 1 species